rnacentral:sRNA from 1 species
GCCACUACAGGGCGCGGUGGCACGUGCCUGUAGUCCCGGCUACUCAGGAGGCUGAGGUGGGAGGAUCGCUUGAGUCCAGGAGUUCUGGGCUGCAGUGAGCUAUGCCGAUUGGGUGUUUGGAAGUUCGGCAUCAAUAUGGUGACCUCCCGGGAGCGGGGGACCACCAGGUUGCCUAAGGAGGGGUGAACCAGCCUAGGUCAGAAUGGGUGUGCCAGGGCCUCUAGCCACUGUAAAUGAAUGCAUGCACUACCUUGUACAUGUGGCUUACAUGGGACCUGGAGAGACAAACACGAGUCCU